rfam:Candidatus Levybacteria bacterium RBG_16_35_11 RBG_16_scaffold_2205, whole genome shotgun sequence.
GCCGGAGUGGCGGAAUUGGCAGACGCGCACGCCUCAAGAGCGUGUGAUCGCAAGAUCAUGAGGGUUCGAUCCCCUCCUCCGGUA